rnacentral:rRNA from 1 species
UAUCUCUGUAGAGUCUGCAUAUCAAUAAGCGGAGGAAAAGAAACUAACUAGGAUUCCCUUAGUAACGGCGAGUGAAGCGGGAAGAGCUCAAAUUUGAAAUCUUCAAGGUUUUACCUUGACGAAUUGUAGUUUAAAGAAGUGUUUUCUGUUGGAAUUUUCGGUAAAAGUUCUUUGGAAUAGGACAUCAUAGAGGGUGAGAAUCCCGUAUUUGACCGUUAUUUUCAGCUGUGUGAUACACUUUCAAAGAGUCGGAUUGUUUGGGAAUGCAGUCCAAAAUGGGUGGUAAAUUUCAUCUAAAGCUAAAUACUGGCGAGAGACCGAUAGCGAACAAGUACCGUGAGGGAAAGAUGAAAAGAACUUUGAAAAGAGAGUUAAACAGUACGUGAAAUUGUCAAAAGGGAAGCGUUUGACACCAGUGUUGUUUUCUCGAAAAUCAAUUAAAAAGUGUUGGAUUUUGUAUUAUUAAGACCUUAUCAGCUUACUGUACUUUUUUCUUGCUCUUUUUAAUGCACUUUUCGUUUAACAAGUCAACAUCAAUUUCUUUUGUUGUAAAAGGGUCAUUGGAAGGUGGCUUUCACUUCGGUGAAAGUGUUUAUAGCCUUUGGCUUCUACAAUCGGAGAGAUUGAGGUCUGCAGCGUAGAUCCUUCGGGGUUAGAUACGUAGAUGCUAAGUUAUAGUUUUUUAUAGACAACUUGUUGACUAUGAUUAAUCAUGUAGCUUACUCGUUUACGCUAUUUUACCUACGCUUAGGAUGUUGAUCUCUCACAGUCGAGC